GCAACUAUUUAGAAACGAUGCUAAACGAUGCUUUGACAACCCGAUGGCCCCAUGAGCUCCUUGAGUCCUUGUGCUAGCUCGCGACAUUCGCGCUCCACGACACACAUUCAGCUCACAAUCAAAGCCAAGAUGAAGCAGAAAAAUGGCACCAAUGUGUCGAUUAAAUCAUCCCUUACGAAUUCAAGGGAAUGGGUAGCUUAUCAACUUCAGCAGAAGAUGUGUGCAGCAACCCCUCAAUUUGUAAUCCUAAGCGUAAUUCUAGAAGCUAGCUUGUCAUCAGUAACUUUUCAACCACUUUCAGCAGACAUUACUGAUGUUAUCACCAUUCAUUAAUCACUAUGGAAAUUCUCAUGGAGCAUGCAGGCUAAGGAACUCCAGAAGUGACGCAAACGGUGGAUAGAACCAUCGUAUGCAUGAUAAAACUCAGAUAUUACAAGAUGAGAUUUAUCACUUUGUGUUUUAUGGCUUCUGCAAGGUUUCUUUCCUAAUGGCAUUCUUGAGUUUUGUGUUUGAUAUAUCGAGAAAUAGCUUUGUGCAAGAGAUUGUCCGGAAAAUGAUGAACACUUGAACAACCGAGAUGAUCUGUGCCCUUGAUCAUCAAAUGUAGUUUUAUUGCCAAGUUUUUCUAUGGUCUGGCUGAUUCUCGAGUUUUAGUGCUACAGCUUCUUGGCUUCUUGCCCAUUUUCCAUUUGCAAUUUCAAAAAGGCUGGAAAUGGCUUCAUAAAAUGUGUAACAUAUAUCAAUAAAUAGCUUGAUAUUUGGUCAUAUGUAUCAUAAAUCUUGUAAAGUAAACUCUAGUAUUGACCGUGAUCUUGUAAAGUGAUCUUUAUUAUUGAUCGUGAUCUUGUAAAGUGAACUCUGGUAUUGACUGUGAUCUUGUAAAGUGAUCUCCAAUGACCGUGAUCUUGUAAAGUAAACUCUAUUAUUGACCGUCGUCUUGUAAAGUGAACUUUAUUAUUGACUGUGAAAGUUUACGAUCAA